UACGUAGGUGGCAAGCGUUAUCCGGAUUUACUGGGUGUAAAGGGCGAGUAGGCGGGCAUACAAGUCAGAUGUGAAAUGUGGGGGCUUAACUCCCAAGCUGCAUUUGAAACUGUAAGUCUUGAGUGAUGGAGAGGCAGGCGGAAUUCCCGGUGUAGCGGUGGAAUGCGUAGAUAUCGGGAGGAACACCAGUGGCGAAGGCGGCCUGCUGGACAUUAACUGACGCUGAGGAGCGAAAGCGUGGGGAGCAAACAGG
rnacentral:rRNA from 1 species